rnacentral:rRNA from 1 species
UAUCCUUCGGGGUAGUGGAAAGUGGCAGACGGGUGAGUAACGCGUGGGAACGUGCCUUUCGGUUCGGAAUAACUCAGGGAAACUUGGGCUAAUACCGGAUACGCCCUUCGGGGGAAAGAUUUAUCGCCGAAAGAUCGGCCCGCGUCGGAUUAGCUUGUUGGUGAGGUAAAAGCUCACCAAGGCGACGAUCCGUAGCUGGUCUGAGAGGAUGAUCAGCCACACUGGGACUGAGACACGGCCCAGACUCCUACGGGAGGCAGCAGUGGGGAAUAUUGGACAAUGGGCGCAAGCCUGAUCCAGCCAUGCCGCGUGGGUGAAGAAGGCCCUAGGGUUGUAAACCCCUUUCAGCGGGGAAGAUAAUGACGGUACCCGCAGUAAGAAGCCCCGGCUAACUCCGUGCCAGCAGCCGCGGUAAUACGGAGGGGGCUAGCGUUGUUCGGAAUUACUGGGCGUAAAGCGCGCGUAGGCGGACUUUCAAGUCAGGGGUGAAAUCCCGAGGCUCAACCUCGGAACUGCCUUUUGAUACUGAUAGUCUUGAGUCCGAGAGAGGUGAGUGGAAUUCCUAGUGUAGAGGUGAAAUUCGUAGAUAUUAGGAAGAACACCAGUGGCGAAAGGCGGCUCACUGGCUCGGUACUGACG